UCCAUUGCCCAGUUGGUAGAGCACAAGGAUCUUAACCUUGUGAUCGUGGGUUCACGCCCUACGAUGGAG
rnacentral:tRNA from 1 species